UAGUGCCUCAAUAAAUUGCUGAGACUGACUUUGAACUCUGAAUCCUCCUGUCUAAGCCUCUGGAGCUGCUGGGAUUACAGGUGUGUGCCACUGAGCCUGGUGAAUUAUCUCUUUUUAAAGUUUAAUGAACGCUUUGAAAAUAAUUCUGGCCCUGGAAUCUUUGCAAAAAUAUAUAUGCAUUCCUUCUCCAACAAUUAUCGUAGCUUAAGGUUUUGCAGGUCUACAUCUACUGAUGGGUGUUUUUGUUGACUAUUGUUUGUUCCUGUUUUCACAGUGCUAUCUUCCUGGGACGCCACUAAAAUAAUCUUUGACCUUCUUUUUCAGAAGGGAACAUGAAUUUAUACAAAAUGUUCCAUCUAUCAAAAACGACCUCCAAACCAAAAGUAACUUAAAACAAAAUUUUUAUUUUGCUCAUAAAUUUGUUGAUUAGCAAUUCAGGAAAGGCUUAGAUGGGUAGUUGGCCUCUGAUUCACAUGAUAUUAUCUAGGGCAGCCAAAGCAGGAAAAUCCACAUCCAAGAUAUUUUUUUUUUCUUCACAUGCCUGAUGCCAUGGUGUUGCUUAGCUCGCUUGUGCUCUCUCUCUCUCUUUCUCUCUCUCCCCUUUUAAUUGCUGUGAAAUUCUAGAACCUCUCCAUGUGUUUUUUACUUCCCAUAGUGAUGUCUCAAGGGUAGUUUCCCAUCUUUACUGGCAUCUGUUUUCCAAAACACUAUGAGCAAAAGCUUCCCAACCAGCCAAGGCCUCACAGAGGAUAGGAACAACCUCAGCGCUGGUGUGUUCCAUCGGUUAAAGCAGUCACAGGGCCUGCUCAGAUCCAAGGGACCAGAGAACCAGAACUGACCCAUUGAUGUGGAAUUGGCAAUGUCCAUGGCUGAAAAACAUGUGGGAUGGGAGGUACUGCAGUCAUGUUUAGAAAAUAUUUUGUCAAGAUAACAUGAAAUCCCUGCUCUGACUUUAUGUGAGGCUGGGCUUGUUUUUGUGCCUCUUAGAGAAGACCAAGGUUGAAUUUGACACUCAUCAUCUCUCUGGGGAAAAUCACUUUGAAGAAUGCAGCAAAUUAUUUUGUAUACUACAUCCAAGGCUACUGAACCAGAAGAAUAAGGACAUACUGCUUGUGAGUUCAGCUGGAUCAAUAGCUCAGCCCUGGGAUUUGCUUGUCUGCUGGAUAUUGAAUGAAAAGCUCUAAGCUGCCAGUUUGUACCAUGGAUAUUGAAGACCCCAGUACAGCCAAACGACAUUUUUCAUAAGACAGAAAGUAACUUACCUGUAAAAAUGUUCAGAUAUAUGGGCCUACAACACAUUAAGACUAUGAAAUGUGCUUUGGCAUUCUCUGUAGGAAAUUCUCCCUUGUAUUACUCAAGAGAAACGGUGCAUGUGUGUGUGUGUGUGCGCACACAUAUCUACACAAAAAUAUAUAUUGGUAGAAUGCCUCAAAGCACUUUACAGUCAUGGUCAAAUCCAUUCUUAUACCUGUGUGAAUAAAAUGUGAGUAGUUGUUAUUUCCUCCUUUUUUCUGUUAGAGAGCAUGACACAGCUGGCCAACCUGCUCAGGAGCCACUAUUCUUCAACCCUCAUUUUCUUGACUACAACUGUCGCCACCGUGGGCCAUCUGGUAGCAGAAUGUGUUUGCAGUUUAUAAGUCCUCACAUGAGACACCUGACAAGGAAGUGUUCCUGACUUCUAUUCUGCACUCCAUGUUUGUCUUCAGGACAUAGGUCCUAAUAUCAUAGCAGCAACAUACCCAAACAGGACUCCUCAUAGAAUGAAACUAACAAAUACAGAGAUAUUAGAAACAAGUUUUCAUGUUUAGCUUGAGAUCCCUAUGAAACUGUCCCUAUUCUGGAUAAAACAGCUUUUUGAAGUGGUAUUUAGAAACAGCCAUGAGAAAGGGGGCAAUACAAAUGAAGCAAUUAAAAAUAGAAAAAUAAAAGUCAUCCUGCUGAAAAUGGCUAUGCACUGAACCAACGCAAGAUUUCAGGCAUUUGGCUGCACUUAUUAUGCUUUCCCUCUUGACUAUACUCAGAGUAGAAGCUUGCCAUCCAGAAUGAUAGGAUAAGUGAAAGCUUUCAACCUCUUGUUCGGGCUCAGCUGCCUUCCUGAGAAUCUAAGAGUGCUUUCCUGGCGUGGGGCCCAGCUGUGGUUGGCAAGAGAAGGCAAGUUGCCACUUGAAACUCUUUGUCACUGCAAAGUGGCCCUUGCCUUUGGAGUCUCCCCUAACUUCAGCUUCUGCUUUGAGUGGUGGUUUGGUGACUGAACUGACAGAAAUAAUGCAGAAGCAUAAAAAUGAUUGGUGAGACAAUACUUUUCACUGUAGUGAAAAGAAAACUUCUGCUGUGAUUGGACAAUUUGCCUGUGCUUCCAGACCAAGACAAUAGGUUGGACCACCAACCAGGAAGUGAGGGGGAAUUUUCUUCUUCCUUCCUCCCCCCAUUCCCCCCAUGCCCAUCCUCACUUUAAAAGAUGUUUGAUACUUUUAGGAAGUGAGGAGUGCAAAGUAAUCACCUGAGAAAAUGAUCUUGAGUCACAUUACUGUUGUCUCUCUCCAUUCAAAAUGUCCUUUCACGGACACUUGCAUGACCUCUGUGAAUCUUAACCACAGGACUCACGUAGCACAAUCUCCGCAAUCAAUCAAAUGUGAGUUCAAAUUGUAUGAUGUUGGAUAAAUUGUUCAAUGUUUUCAAGUGUCUGUUUUUUCUCAUUAAAUUACAAGAAUAAUGUUUUAUUUCAUAAGGUGGUUGUGAGGAUUAAUUUAGAUACUGUAAGUAAAUAGCUAAGUUCAAUACCAGGCACUGUUGUAAGCUUUUAGUGAAUGGCAUGUGGUCAGCAUUUCUUAAUUGUCCAAUGUUUUCUUUUCCCACCCAAUAAAGGUCUAGACAUAACUAGCUUCAAA